rnacentral:snRNA from 1 species
GGAUGUGAGUCCCAAUCUGGCUUUGACAUGUCACCCCAUUAAUUGGCAGAGUUUAUUCUGCUGAUCUGGCUGGCCAACGAGGUAUGUAUGCCUUUCCUCCCUCACUACUCCAUGUAUGUCCAUCCUGGAGCUUUGUGUCUCUAGCUAAGAGAAUGACCUUCCCCUACGGAGGAGAGGCCUUCCAGGUCAAGUGUAUAGAGGCAGCCUCCAUGCCCUGCCAGAAAUCCAAACAAGCUCUCAGGAUGGUCACUGCCUUUUCCUCUUAUUUUAGGUUUGACUGAGAGUCGGGACAAUAGAGGGAAAUGUAUGACUCUCUGGACAACCUGGGGCAUGGAGUACAAAACUAUAUGUUACA